UGAAGAAAAAGAUCUAGUUAUGUCAGAUGAUGUAGAUUCUGGAGAUCUGAUUCCUCAAACCGUCUCUGAAAAGCCACACAGUCAAGAACCUGCAGAUGAGUCUGAAGGCAAAACUGUGGAACAGUAACAGAUCAAAUUAGACCAACUAUGAAAUUAUUUGGUAGUGUAGUAAAUAUAGAAAGACCCAUGAGUGCCUGUACUUAGGGAAGAAUAAUUUGAAAGAUUUACUUCAGUCUUAGAUCGUAUUAUGCUAGCCAAUUAAAUAACAGUGACAGCACACAAAAAAGUCAGCUUUUAAUCGUUUGUUACCUGGA